GAUUUAUUUUAUAAUUUUUAAUUUUAAUAAUUGAGUUAUUUUUAAUUUUUAACAAGAUUUAUUUUAUUCUAUGAAUGUUUUACCUGCACGCACAUAUGUGUAUCAUAUGCUCAGAAGUCAGAAGAGGGCUUUAGAUCCCCCUGGAACUGGAGUUACAGGCAGUUGUGAGCCACCUUGUGGGUCCUGGAAUUGAACUUGAGCCCUCUGCAAGAACAAGUGCUCUUAACCUUGGUGCCAUUUCUCCAGCCCCCUCAUGUAUUAUUGUGAUGUCAUAUUUCUUUGUAUGAUAUCUCAGCUUUUACUGUGAGCUUUUUACUUCCCUUACAAUCUGAUCUGAGACUGUUCUUUGAGGUUGGAGUUAAACCCAAAUUCGUCCUAAGAGAAAAUGUGAAGGCUUCUGCCAACAACCUGGGAUAUCACCCAGGCCUCUUGGGACUAAACUCUCCACUAAGAGUCCAAAGCAGGCGGUUCAGGCAGCUUCAGGGCACAAUCAUAAAAGACCUGGUUUGUGACUUACAAGUCUCAGGGAGAGUCCCCACUUAAAUAGGUAGCACUGGACAUGGGUUUUUGUGGCUGUGGUUAACAUCUGAAUUCUAUGUUCCUCAUUUACCUGGCCAUUUCAAAAGUAGCCUUUCAAGACUCAGGGUUAUCAAAGGAGUCUGUACAGGUUUGUUUAUCUUGGCUUUCUCUUAACUGGUGUCCUAUAUUAUUGACAGAGGUAGAUUUUUAAGCUCUCAGGGUUUGGAAACCUGCCUGCCUUUGCCCCAACCUCACAGCUCCUCUUUUGGAUUGUGCUGGAGGGUCACUGUAGUCUUCCAUUUGAGGCUGUAAUUAUGAAGACUUGAAUCUAUCCAGCACUUCGUAUUUAGUGAGGUUCUCAGAGGGAGAGAGUAUAGCUAACGUAGGCUACCCUCUCUCGCUUGCCCUGGCGGUGACCAGUUGCAUUGGUUAUCCAAAUCGUAACUCCCCCCCCCCACCCCACCCCCAAAAGUUGUCCAGAUUAGAUAACAGUGUUUCCAUUUCCAGCUCCGGAACCGUGGCCAACACAGUUAUAUAGGUAUUAACCUGUUGCCUUAAGGAAGACCUUCCCUUCCCUGACUCUGCAGAUUGGAUACAUUGUAAAUAGUUCACAAUUAGUGGCCAAUUUUCAAAGCUAGCUUUUGAAAUGUUACCAAGGUAUAAUUGCAAAUUAGUAGAUAUGAAUCUAACACUCUAUAGUUUGAAAAAAUGCCCAUUGUCCUACAUACUCGGAAAGAACAAUUAAACAUGGCAUGUCUUGCAUGAGGUACCUCCCAUUUUUUGUAGCAGGGGAGGACAUUUGAAGAUUGAUUCAUACAGUCCUGUACCUCUAACGCUCUGUCAGAACUAUGUUGUGGCUUUAACUCUGCUACUCAGGUUUGCUCUUUUUCUUGCUCCCCCUCCCUCGCCAAUCUUGGUUGCUCCCUUUCUCUGCCAUCAGCAUCCUUUAUCCCUCUUCCUCAGCCCAAUUUCUUUUUCACUUCUGGAUAAUCAGUUAAGUAAUAGAAUUUUCUUGUUCUAUACUUUAAAAAAACAAACAAACAAAAACCACCUUAUUUUCUUCUCAAGUACAUUCUAAAUCCGUACAAUCCUCUAGUUUGCUUCUUAAAACGCGUUUCUAGAUACACAACAUUUGGAGAACCAAGAAGAACUUUGGAAACCAGAGGAGCAGUUUACAUCUACUGAGCCGUCACUGCCCAACCAGAGCUGUGCACUGGAAUAAAGCAUCAAGGAGGAAGGAGGAGGCCCUAUCCACCUCCCAUUUACAUCCCAAACUAAUCAGCCCAGGCUGGUCUUUGUAUUAUUAUCAUUAGAGAACUUAGAUUUACAGCCAGUUCUAUUUAUCUAUUUAUCUAUUAAAUGUCUAACAUUUAAAAAGUCAUUUAAUGUAAAUAAAACUAUUUAUUUAAAUAAACAUCCAAUUCCGUUGUGUUGUCAGUUAAUCCUCCCCUCACGAAGUUCUUAGUUUAGCAAAUUCAUUUCUGGGACUAUUUUAGAUAAGUAUGGAGGACUAGAAAUCCCUAU
rnacentral:lncRNA from 1 species